AAACUGAGCCGGAAAUCCCUAUCUAACGAAGGGAGAUGUCCAACUUUUUUGUCCGAGCUCGUUGAAGCGGUUUUCCUUUUUCUUAAAUCAUGCCGUCACAUGGCUUCCAUGAGCUUUGAUCUCUUAUUCGAAACUCUCCUCGCGUCCAGAUUAAUUUCUCGGCAACGUCUGAACGCCACGACAACUACGAAGACGACGGCCCAGCGACGCCCAGGAUAUCGCUAACGCCAUCGCCAAGGAUGGUUGUAUAGGUGCCUCUGGCCCCAGCCGGCCGCCCGUCUUACUGGUCAAACAGGUCAUUGAUCUGACACUGGCAGGUCUGCCUGCUGCAGACUCAUUCAUGGGGCAGCAGCCAUAUUUCCUACACACUGAAUUCGAACUCUGGAAUACAUACGCGCUCUGCAGCACGACACUGGAAAUAAAAAUAGCCGGAGAGGACAGGUUGGCCGUCUUACACCCACCGAGCUGCUGUACCAGCGAGCGACGGGCUUGAGUGUACCAGGAACGUCGAAGAGAGUCGUUGAAACUAGUCUGAGGUCAUUCUUGCAAUGAAAGAGAAUGCGGAUACUCGACAAGUAUCUUCUCGGCGGAUGAUACUUUGAAAAAGUUCAGUUAUCAUCCUAAAAUGGCUAUAGUUGAUGACCACCCUCGUGGACUCUGACAUUUUAGGAAAAGUGCAAUAGAAGACUAUUCAUUCUUUACGCUCACUAAUUAUCGGUUUAAAAACGGUAGACUAGACGUCUAUGGAAAUUUUGGAAGAGCACCACAUCUGCUUGACUUCAAAAUUUGUAUGAUUUUGAUUGCAAUGUCGCAGACAAAAUGAGCUACACGCACAACAUCUCCAUGAUUUUCUUCCUCUGCAAAGUAUACAAAACUACUCAACUUCAACGAUCUUCUCUAGACUAACUUUCGCAAUGUCCGUAAAAAGGGAUAAUUCAAUCCCCUUCAACCGCAAAAUAAUAGAAGGGGCCAACUCGUGAUAUGAGAGCAGCACCGUGACGCCACGCAGAGGAUUAUUUCCACAACCUUCCCAGUCGCGGGAUCGCUUUAGCUGUCUAGACGUGGAGGCGUCGUCGUCCACAGAAGUGCAUUAAACGACAACAUCAAUACCGCUAUACAAUUCGAAUUAACAAUCGUAUAAUAAUUUAACAGUCCGAUUAUGACAGAAUCCGGAAGCUAUGGUGGUUGUAUAACAAUGUCAUGCAAUGGUAGAAAAGUCGAUUUUAUUUGGGAGCCGGAUUCAGAAAACGGAUGGAAAGAGGAGUACGUAAAAAAAUAAAAUUUGCAAACAAUUGUCUAGGG